rnacentral:misc_RNA from 1 species
AACGCACGAGACCUGCGGACCUGCGGAAGGAUCAUUAACGAGUUAGGGUCUUCCAGGCCCGACCUCCCAACCCAAUGUUUACUACACCGUUUGUUGCUUCGGCGAGCCCGUCUUCACGGACCGCCGGGGGACCGUCAUAGGUCUCCUGGCCCGCGCCCGUCGGUAGCCUCUUAAAACUCUUUAACCAAACAUGUUUUGACUAAGUACCAAUUGUUAAUUAAAAACAAAACUUUCAACAAU